GAUUGGCACAUGGUUACUUGUAUGAGUUACUUACUUGAUGCAUGUGUUGCCAAGGCUGUGUCACCUGUGCCACUCGCUUGCACACACUGUUCUGAGCACUAUGAAUGAGACUUCUGUCUCCCAGUGGCCUGUGAGGUGGACUCUACCCUGCAGACUUGCUCUUGAGUAGCAGUGCUCGCCUCAAGGGAGGGACCUGGAGUCCAGGGCAAGAAGGUGGACUUUAGUAGGAAGAGCCCAGGAAGCUGUGGCAAAGGAGAAACCCCAGCUCCUUGGCAGAUGAUUGGAGCAGGAGCGCCCUGUACCUGCCCUGCCUGCCUCCCCUGCACUUGUCACCCACACCUGCCCGGUGACUCUGUGCUUCAGACUUGCAGAUGGGCCACACACUGCAUGGGUGCACCUUCCCAGGUAAAAGUACCACCAAGACCCUGGACGUCUAUCCUUUGGCACUUAUGGUCUCCAAGUCUCAGGUCAGUUUCCCAGUUUCCCGUAGCCCCCGGUGGUCAACGAGGACCGGGGAACGCUCAGAACAUCCAGGAUUAUAGGCAGCCAGGCCUGUGCACAUAUGGCUGGUGGAGGCUGUGCCCAUGUGGCAGGACCCGUGUCUGCACCUACCCUGUGGAGUCACCAUAACCACAGGCACCAGUGUCUUCUGUAGCUCACAGCUGGGCAAAGGAAGACACAGGUCCCAUUGGAUCUUCCACACUUUUUUCUGACAUCAGGAACGUCCUGAGCCUUAACAGAGUUUAUUCUCUGGCAGGAAAACCCUCCACUGGGUGAGGUAUAAAUAGGCCAAAGGGGACAAGGGGGCCCAUUUCGAUUGCAUCUUCUGGCCCGAGCCCACACAUGGUACCUGUUACACAGCUGGUCAGCCUGAGGGAGCUGCUGGCCAAACGAGAAUCUCUUUGAUUAGUCCACCUCAAGAUGGACACGUGGGCAGCAUCUCCUACCGGGGCCCUCAAAAUCUCAGCCUAACUCCCAAUCAGAGCAUGGCGAAGCCUCUCAGGAUUUUCCAGGCAUAGAGAUUCACACCAGUAAUCCCAGCACUCUUGGAAGGCUGAGGUGGGAGGAUCACUUGGGCCCAGAGGUUUGAGACCACGUUGAGCAACAUAGGAAAACCCCAUCUCUACGAAAAAAUUUCGGAAGUAAGUGGGGUGUGGUGCACACCUGUAGUCCCAGCUCCUCAGGAGGCUGAGGCAGGUGGUUUGCUUGGGCUCAGGAGUUUGAGGCUACAGUGAGCUGUGACGUCACCACUGCAUUCCAGCCUGGGUGACAGAGUGAGACCCCAUCUCCAAAAAAAUGUCUCCAGUAUUGUGGUACCCAGAUGUAGCCAGGUGAUAGCACAGAGACCACAGCCUUGAAAGGAGAGUCAAUGACAGUGCCCAGGACAGGCAGAAGGAGCGAGGAGACCUCAGGGGCAGCCACCUUCACUGACCCAGGGUGAGGUGGGCAAUGCACAGCCCAGGGGCCAAUGCCCAUUUGUCCACUGCAGUGCAGAGCAGGGGAACAUUGGCUUGCCAUGUCAAGUUGGUGAAUAAAUGGUUGAGGGCUCUGGAUUGAUUCGUUUGCAUGUGAAAGGCCUGUGCACAGGCAGGGCCUUUGUGCCACUAUUUCUAGACAUUCUUGGCCCAGGGAGGAGCAGUGUCUCCAGGACUAGCAAGGCUCUAAGAUGUCAAACCAUCAUAGAGUGCAGACAGUGAGCAGCAGGCUGCCAAGGGGUGAAAUACGACUGACACAUAAAACUGCAGCCUGGGUGCAGCCUGUAGGCGAGGUGUGGGCUGGACCUGAGAUGCCGGAGUUGUCACCAGGACAGUGUGACCAGAGCAUGAAGAUGGACAGGCUGGCCACGGGGGCUUCUAGAACCUUCAGAAUCCUGAGGGUGGGACCUGAAAGGACCCCAAGGUUAAGGGUUGAGCAGAGGGCAAGAUACAGGUUAAGACUGAGGAAGAUCAGGUGGGUCCACAUGGCAAGAAGGGGCUGGGCUUGCUGCACAAGCCAAAGGGUUGGGGAUGGGGUCACAGCGUGUGUCUUAGGUUGUGUAGGCAGGUCAGAGGUCAGCAUCCUAGAUUCCACCCUGUUCCAACCGCGCUUCAUACUGACACUGGCCCUGAGAGGAGCUGUGGACUGGACCUCCUGACUGCCGCAGUCACCACACAGAGAAGGGCUCAGGGGAGGGCCAGGACAUUACAGCCUCUGUGAGAGGUUGCCUGGGCGGGGCAUUCAGAGGGGGUGAGGACGGUCAGCACAAAAUAGCAUUAUCCCCAGGCCUGCAAAGAUACCUGCAACAUGUGUGAUGUUAUGUCUGUUGAAUUUGUCAGGGUUCCACCACUGCAGAUGCCCUACAGGGGAUGGUCACAAACUCCAGCACACCAGUGUCCAGGUGUAGCGGGGAAAGGGGCUUCUCCCAUCCUUGGAAGCUCCCAGGCUGCACUGCCUUCCCAGGCCCCAGCCACCAGGCCACUGCUCAGCAUCUCUGGCCUGCUGCAGAGGCAGCACCUAAGCUAGUCUUGACCAGCUUUAGAGAGCAGACACCCGAAGUAAUUUCAAAGACAAAGUUAGCAUCUUUAUUACGACCCUCAAGCUACCUGCAGGGCCUGCACACCAUGGGGGUCUGCGCACGAGAGGGGGAUCUUUUAGGCUCCCACUCCCUCAGCCAGCACCGGCCCCACACAUGAGACAGCAUAUGUAACUGUGCUUUUUUCUUAAUGACACAUUUAAGUAAUAUAAUUGAAUAAAGUAUUUUAAUGACUAUCUGGGGUAACAUAUAUAUGAUAUGUUUGAAACUUUGCUCUUAAUGCCUUAAAAAUUCCUUAAAAUGGGGCACCGGCCCCAUAUGCUGAGGGUGGCAGGUUCAAACCCAGCCCCAGCCAAACUGCAACAACAACAACAACAACAACAAAAAAAAAAUAGCCGGGCGUUGUGGCCGGCGCGUGUGGUUCCAGCUGCUCGGGAGGCUGAGGCAAGAGAAUCGCGUAGACCCAAGAGUUGGAAGUUGCUGUGAGCCGUGUGACGCCACGGCACUCUACCCGAGGGUGACACAGUGAGACUCUGUCUCUACAAAAAAAAAAAAAAAAAUUCCUUAAAAUGUUCAUGUUUGAGGCAAAAUGAACACCCACUAGCUGGUUCACUAUUAGGCUGUAUAGUUACAACAUUCUGGGAGAUGGAGUUUGUUGUGUGCGGGAGCCCAGACAGGAGUGUGUGCACAUGCCACGCACACAGGCCACUCCACCACAUCCUCACUUUACCUGUCUUUUGCCACAUGCUUCUGUUUACCUGAAACUCAGGUCAUAUGUGAAGUUGUGUCCAGAGACAAAUUCUGGACCUGAACUCAACCUGCAAGUGAGGCCUCCUCUUCCUCUCUCAGGUGGGCAGGAGACUCUGCUGUGCACUCAGGUCAGAGGCCUCAGAACCCACCUUUCUCUCACUGGUCAGGACCACACCAGACUAGAAAGGAGAUUGUGGGGUCUAUUCUAAACCUUUAUAUGAGAUUUAUAUAUGGGCCAGGCUGAGCUGCGUUGUGUGUGGUCACCUGGCCACCAGACACCUGCCUUGAGGUUUGUUUUCUUGCAGUCACUGUGUAGCUGUGGGUUCAGAGUUCAGUCAUCAGCCUGGGCCCAAGCCCCUCCCUGGCUGAGUGCAGCCUCACUGGUGCCCACCUACUGCUCAGGGGAGUUUGCAUUCAGGCAGUUUAAGACUCAGUUGAUGCUCAAAAGCCCUUCAUUUACCUGAAAAUUGUCAGAGAAUGUUAUAUGUGUUAUAUCUCCCUGGGCUGGUCUUAUGGCAGUUAAGUGCAACACAGGUGGGGGAAUUGCCACUCCUUUCCAGAGGCAGA